CCUACGGGAGGCAGCAGUGAGGAAUAUUGGUCAAUGGGCUUACGCCUGAACCAGCCAAGUCGCGUGAGGGAAGACUGCCCUAUGGGUUGUAAACCUCUUUUGCCGGGGAGCAACGGGCGUCACGUGUGGCGCCACUGAGAGUACCCGGAGAAAAAGCAUCGGCUAACUCCGUGCCAGCAGCCGCGGUAAUACGGAGGAUGCGAGCGUUAUCCGGAUUUAUUGGGUUUAAAGGGUGCGCAGGCGGUCUGUUAAGUCAGCGGUCAAAGCCCGGGGCUCAACCCCGGCCCGCCGUUGAAACUGGCAGUCUCGAGUUGGAGAGAAGUAUGCGGAAUGCGCGGUGUAGCGGUGAAAUGCAUAGAUAUCGCGCAGAACUCCGAUUGCGAAGGCAGCGUGCCGGCUCCACACUGACGCUGAGGCACGAAAGCGUGGGUAUCGAACAGGAUUAGAUACCCUUGUAGUC
rnacentral:rRNA from 1 species